AGCGCCCUUGGCUGCUCUCGCACCUCACCCUGCCCUUACUGGCCUUUCGCCGCCCUUCUCGCCUCUGUCCCGCUCUGCUCUGUCUCUCCCGGGGAGUGACUGAGGCGGGACCCCACGGGCCCGGCUGCGGCGGGGGCCCUUCCGAAAGCAGCUCUGCCGCACACCCCACGGCCCCGGGUGAGGGGGCUUUGCCUAUUGCCGUGGGGUCAGGCUUUUGGUUGUUGCUUCGGGAGGCGAGGUGGGGUACGGCCAAACAAGCCCUUUCCCCAGGCCAGCACGAUGACUGUGCACGCAAGGGGCUGCCGUGCCAGGCGUCUCCAGUUGUGCACCCGUGUUUCUCCAGCCAUGCUCAGGAGAUAAGUUUUCAAAGUGAAAAAUGAACAGAGCUGUGAAAAACGAACAAUCUACAUUGACCGCACCACUUGCCCAUCCAAAGGACCCCAGCAUCACUCAGUUUCCAGAAUGUUGGAUGCACAGUGAAUGAGACAGCUGUUUAUCUGUUCUAGUCUGUGUGUUCCUACAACCUUUAUUUACCGUGGACCAUCUAAAUCUGUAUGCGUUUAUUGAUUUCCUUGUGAGGUGAUUGCGUUUAUCACCAGACCAUUACAGUCACUGACCUGCACAUGGUGAGUAAAAUUCCAGUCCUGAUGCACAGCUGGUGUUCUGUUCAUCGAGAACUCUUAGGCAUGAAAAGAGGAUAACGUGUACAAGAUUUUUCCCAUCUAGUACUUCAAAGAAUUCUUAGAGAGUCCAGCAGCAGCAGUUCCUCUCUGAAGAUCUUGCAAUGCAGCAGAGCUGUUUUGAAUGAUCUCUUCAAUACUUCAGUAUGUUCUUGUCUGUGAAAGGCAUUACAGAGUUUGGUAUAUAAAUUGUGAGUCUCUGAGGUGAUGUUGAACCAUGGAUGUCCCUCACAGCUAUUGUUAGGUCUUCAGUGCAGUCUGUUGGAAGGACAGAACUGCUACAGAAACCAGUAAGAUAAUUUUGAAGUUUAGAAGUGAGAAAUUAAAUCAAGAACAUUUAAGGAAGCCCCUCUAGUUACAACUCUUUACUGGGAAAAAAACAGGGAAGAUAGAGCCAAGUACAGAGAGAUGGACACAGACUGUAUCCACUAAGCAUGUUUGUACUCCUGUCUCACAGAGUGAAUACACAGGCGAUAUAUUUAUAGAAUGGGACGAGUGGAAGGAAGAAAACCAAAACUUGUCAUGGAUUUAUGUGAUUAAAUUUCACGAGUAAUUAUUAUUAUACAUUAUUAAGAGCAAAAUAACUGAUAAAGGAUGUUCUGCACAUCAUUGUCAUAUUGUUUAUCCAGCCUCACUUAUGAACUUCACUGGCUGGUCAGAGUGUAAAAAUUAAAUAGUGAUACAUUAUUUUCAAUCUCCUCCAGCUGUGGCAUGUUUAUAUGUAAGCUUCUACAAACACUUUCAAGAUUCCUGGUUUAAUAAUUAAAGUGGUUCACUGAUUAAUAUUCAUGUGUCAAGCUGUAGUUUCAGGACCAAUUUCAUCUAAGUGUGGGCUGCCAGAGUGGUAGUUCUGGUGUCCCCCUUCAUCCCAACAACAAAGUUCUCUUCUGCCUGAAGUGCUGCUCUCUUCCAACCUGGCUGAAAUCUAACCUGUUAAAAAAAUAAAUCAGUGCAAACAUAACAAUUAGUUUUCAGCCAUAUCAGUUGCAGUUUCAUCCUGCAGCCACAGUCACCCUAAUGCUGGCAAACAGGAGGGGGAAAGGAAGCAGAGCUGGAAACAGGGGAUGGAGGACCAAUAGGGCCUCCCUUUUCCAUGGCAACUGACAUUUAGCUCAGCAUAAUCUGAACUGCAACGUCAUGUUUCCCUUGAAUUUAAAAAUCCCAUUUACUGGCCUCUCUGUGUUGCUAAAAUGUAGAAUUAUCUAUUUAUUUCUAUUGCCAUACUGGAUAUACUUAGACAGAUGUAAAACACCUAUAUGCUACUAAAAUAUUAAGAAUGUCUGAUUAUUAAGUUAUUUCCCAAUGUUUUAAUUAUUGCCAUUCCUCCAACAAAAGGAACAACAAGAGGAUUAAUUUUAAAAUAUGUUUAAUUACUGCAGUUUAGGUUGUGAGUUAUCUAUAAAAGCAAACAAUACCCUCAGCAGCAAUGUGGAUAAUAUAAUGCAAAGUUCACUCCACAUUUCUCGCUCAUAAAGCUUCUUUUCUUGCUGUC